UGAGGUCAGCUUCAAUUGCAUCAGGCAGU
rnacentral:piRNA from 1 species